AGCGAACACUGGCGGCAGGCUUAACACAUGCAAGUCGAGCGGGCCCUUCGGGGUCAGCGGCAGACGGGUGAGUAACACGUGGGAACGUACCCUUUGGUUCGGAAUAACGCUGGGAAACUAGCGCUAAUACCGGAUACUCCCUUUUGGGGAAAGGCUUGCUGCCGAAGGAUCCGCCCGCGUCUGAUUAGCUAGUUGGUGGGGUAAUGGCCUACCAAGGCGACGAUCAGUAGCUGGUCUGAGAGGAUGAUCACCCACGCUGGGACUGAGACACGGCCCACACUCCUACGGGAGGCAGCAGUGGGGAAUAUUGGACAAUGGGCGCAAGCCUGAUCCAGCCAUGCCGCGUGAGUGAUGAAGGCCUUAGGGUUGUAAAGCUCUUUUGUCCGGGACGAUAAUGACGGUACCGAAAGAGUAAGCCCCGGCUAUCUUCGUGCCAGCAGCCGCGGUAAUACGAAGGGGGCUAGCGUUGCUCGGAAUCACUGGGCGUAGAGGGCGCGUAGGCGGCCAUUCAAGUCGGGGGUGAAAGCCUGUGGCUCAACCACAGAAUUGCCUUC
rnacentral:rRNA from 1 species